rnacentral:rRNA from 1 species
AUACGGAGGAUCCAAGCGUUAUCCGGAUUCAUUGGGUUUAAAGGGUGCGUAGGCGGAUUUGUAAGUCAGCGGUGAAAUCCUACAGCUUAACUGUAGAACUGCCGUUGAUACUGCAAGUCUUGAGUACAUUUGAUGUGGGCGGAAUGUGUCAUGUAGCGGUGAAAUGCUUAGAUAUGACACGGAACACCAAUUGCGAAGGCAGCUCACAAAACUGUAACUGACGCUGAGGCACGACAGCGUGGGGAUC